GUGGGGAAUCUUAGACAAUGGGGGCAACCCUGAUCUAGCCAUGCCGCGUGAGUGAUGAAGGCCUUAGGGUUGUAAAGCUCUUUCAGCUGGGAAGAUAAUGACGGUACCAGCAGAAGAAGCCCCGGCUAACUCCGUGCCAGCAGCCGCGGUAAUACGGAGGGGGCUAGCGUUGUUCGGAAUUACUGGGCGUAAAGCGCACGUAGGCGGAUUGGAAAGUUGGGGGUGAAAUCCCGGGGCUCAACCCCGGAACUGCCUCCAAAACUACCAGUCUUGAGGUCGAUAGAGGUGAGUGGAAUUCCGAGUGUAGAGGUGAAAUUCGUAGAUAUUCGGAGGAACACCAGUGGCGAAGGCGGCUCACUGGCUCGAUACUGACGUUGAGGUGCGAAAGCGUGGGGAGCAAACAGGAUUAGAAACCCGGGUAGUCC
rnacentral:rRNA from 1 species